rnacentral:lncRNA from 1 species
CAUGCAAGCAUAGCAGCGUUGCCUGCAGGCGCAGAGGGGGGGCAGCAGCGGGAGACAGCAGCAGCGCCCGCGCCCAUGGCUGCGCAUGCAAGCACAGAGGGGGGGCAGCAUGAGAAAGGAGAGGCCCAGGGGAAAGGGUCCCAGGGGAAACGGGUCCAGGGGCAAGCUGGCGGGUCAAGGAAGCGGCGCAAGGCAGAUAGGCCAAGGCAUCCAACUGGGCGCAAGCAGGGUGACAUGAACAAGGUUCCUGAGCUGCAGAGGCAGUAUUUUGAGGACAGGGGGAAUGGACUGGCCAAGUGCUUGCCAUGCAGCUGGAUGGAGAAGCAGGAUGUGCUUGUCUCGUUGCACAGG